GUAGAGGGAGGCCAAGCAAGGGCUGUGAGCAGGAAGCUCCAAGCAACAAUCCAGGGGAUUUCCAGCAGGAAGUGGGGUGUGAGCAGGGUAUGAGAGGCAUGGAAGGCAAAAAGGACAGAUAGCACAGGGCCUUGGAGAUGGAGCAGCACCAGCCUGCCGAUUGGUCAGAGAAGAAUGCAGACUUCCUGUUCGGUAGGAAGCUCUGCCAAGCGGCAAAGGAAUUUUGCAUCGGCUCCUGGGGACCCUGUGCGGAGGCCAUGGAGACCUCAAACCUGCUCUUGAGGUUUCUUUAACACUGGGGGAAAUUGCAACACCGGGUUUCUCACCCCCCACCUCCUGCUUGUUGGGGCUGCUCAGUGGGAGAUCCUCACGCCCCCUCUGUUUUGUUUACCCCACACAUUCCUGUGCUUGGGAGAAGCGGCUGCCUGGGCUUGGGAAGCUUGCUCUGACUUCUAAGAAACAGGAAGUGAUUAUUUGCCCAAAGCAAACAAACUCAAAAACUACAGGGUUCAUGUCCAGUCCAAAGCUGGAGUCCCAGGAGGUGCUCGUGUAGGCUGAGGAUGUGAGGACCCAGCAGAGAGUCUUCCCCUUCCCACUUCCCCACCAAAUCAGCACUGCGGUGACCAGCAGGAAGCCUGAGCUAAGAAAGCCCUGGUCUGGAGUGCUGCAUUCCUGCGCCAGGCAGCAUCCUUUCCCAGUGAGAACGUCCUUCCCAUGACAUCAGCAAAACGGAUUCUGUUUCUCCUGGAAGUGGAAGAUCAGUAACCUUCCGCAUGCCCUGGCGUUCCUCCAGGAAGACAAAGAGAGAGAACAUUUAUUGGAAGCCCUUCGGAGGUCAUGACUUGAACUUGGCAUCCACCUUCCGUGUACUGUUUCAUUACGCUCCUGCCACAACCUCAGUGAAAUAGACACAUUUGCAGGGAAAGCCCCAGGCUGAUGUUGUCAAGAAAUGGAGAAAUGCCCAGAAGAAGCCAGUGAGGGCUGCCUGCAGACGACACUCCCUACCCCCAUUUUCUACUGGGAGUCUGGCACCUUCAGCUUUCUCUUCCAGGGUGAUGAGCACUGUCUAGGCUCUAGCGCUGUGUUCUCUGACAGUCACGAAUCCCUGACAAGCUGAGGAUGGAUUAAGGUGACGGUGAUGGAAAAGAUGAUGACGGUGACGAAGAAGAAGGUGAAGAUGAUGACCAUGAUGAUGACUGUGCCAGUGAUGGCAGCAUUGUAACACGGUCACACUUAUCCAAUACUACUGUCAUGUAGUAAGUGCUCCAUGGCAGGCGCCGUUAGGUGCGUGACAGAUGCAUUCACGGUGACACUUUCCAGCCAACGGUCAGCAUUUGUUCCAGUGAUGAAUGAGCUUAGUCAGCCAACAGAUAUUUACUGAAUACCUACUAAGCUCCGUGAUUGUCUGUGUCGGGCAUACAAAAACCAGCAUUAGCUUUCCAUUUCGUAUAGCAUUUCUGGCCAGAGUUAGAUAUUUAACCAACGGACCGCAAACUGUGGUAACCACACUUUAAAUGGAGAAAGGAUACUCAUGCAUGCAUGGCAUGUUAGUAUGUGUUAGAGGGACCCCCAACUUUCAACACAAAUUCUUCUCCAGAUGACAUUUGUUCUAAGAGAGCCCUCUUUUAAGAUUUCCUUUAUUUUUAAGUACAUGUGAAUGGGCACGCACACGUAUGAGUCCAGGUGCCCACAGAGUUCAGAAGACAGUGUCGGAUUGUCGGGAGCUGGAGUUAUAGGUGAUGUGAGCUGUCCAAUGUGGAGGCAGGAAACUGAACUUCUGUUGUUCUAACCACUGAACCGUCUCACUGGGACAUAUUUCUUAUUUCUUGGGGGGUGCAUUUUUUUAAACAGCUGGGUUUUUCUUAGGAAGGGUUUAGGUAUUAGUGGAAUUUGUUGUGUGACCAGCUUGUUCAUGUCCUCUUAUACGUGCUCCAAGUUACUGCUGGAUGACCGUGUUCUGUGUCUCCAGAUCUGGCUAGAAUUUGAUAUGAUUGAGUGUAUGGCAGGGGGAAGCAAGCCUCCUUAGGGUCAUUUGGAACCUUUCAUUUCAUUUGUCCCUCCUUCUAGACAUUCUAAGCACCUGCCAGACAGUUUACUUACUGCUUAGCGAAUGAGCGUAGAGAGUAAGUAUAUUAGCCAGCUUUCUAUCACAAAAUACUGGAGAUAAUUCAGCUCAAAGAGAGGAAGGGUUUGAUCUGGCGUACAAUGUCAUAGGUUUUUGUUUGUUUGUUUGGUUUGGUUUGGUUUGAUCUGGCGUACAAUGUCAUAGGUUUUUGUUUGUUUGGUUUGGUUUGGUUUGUCCAAAGUCAGUUGGCACAAUGUUUUGGAGCCUGUCACAAGGUGUCAUGGUGAGGGUACAUAGCGGGGGAAGUUGUUGACUUCAUGGUACUUGGGAAGAGACCAGAGUCACAUUAUCUUUUUUCUAUAGCAUGAGCCCAAUGGCCCAGCUUCCUUCUCCUGCACCCCACCUCCUAAAGGUUCUAUUAUCUGCCUUCACUAAGAUACAAGUCUUUCAACAUAUGGGGUUCAGAGAGACUUUUUAGGUUCAAAUUGUAAUAGCUUUUUGCAGACAUUGUAGUGAAUACUAGUAUUUAUUCACUGGACAGUAUGUAUUCAGCAUCGGUCCCAUAGUAGUGCUGGGCCCUGGAGAUCAGGGGUCAAGAGAUAACCCUUGACUACAGUGUGUCAAGGAGUCUGGGGCUGGGGUGGAGCUCAGUAUAACCCCUUGCAGAGGAUGUUCAAGGUCUUAGGUCCCAUCCCUAGCACAGCAACACAAGACAGACAGACAGACAGACACAAAGCCAAAGGAGCGAACCCUACUGAGAUACAGAGGCAAGAACUUGAUAGCCCUGUGCUCAAGGAAAAGUUGUAGCAGAAGUGACAGUAAAGGAAGAGUGGGGUGAGAGUAGGGGUGCCAGUACCAGGACAAAACUGGAGAUAAUAAAAGGACCGUAGUGCCUUUAAGACCCCAGGGAAAUGAACUCAUGUAAAUGCUCUCUUCAUCGUCAACCUGACAAGAUUUUGGAAUCCCGAUGAAAACACACACAUAGGUAUGUCUGUGAAGAUGGUUCCAGAAAGGUCUACUUGAGGAGGGAAGAACCACUCAGAUGUUAGUGACCACAUCCCUCACACUGGGAUUCCAGAUGGAAUUAAAAGGAGGAAGGAACCUAACAUCGGCAUUCGUUUCUCUGCUUCAAACACUUCAAACUGCCACAACCAGGCUGCCCCUCCCACUCACUAUAGGUCCUGCCCCUUUGAACUGUGAGCCAGGAUGAACCUUCCUCUGAUAAGUUGCUUUUUAUCAGGCGCCAGAUCUCAACAACGAGGAGAGGAGCUAAUUGCAAAUGUGUACCGGGAAUGCAAUUAAUAAAACUGUCACAGAAGAUUUUAAAAAGAGAGUAGAAAAUGUCCUGGUCGCAGCAUGGAAGGCAAUUGGAGAAGUUAAGUGGCGGGUGCUGCGUUGGUUUCCUGGGCCCUUCUGAGCAUUAGCGGGGGAGCAGACAUCUUGGGAUGGAGUUAGUAAUGGAAGAGAAAGAAGAGAUCAGAUAUGCACAUGAGGUCUGGCUUGCAGGACAGGCUGGAGGUGGGGAUAGCUUUGGGAAGCUGCAGCAGAGGUCCACAGGAUGGUGUAGUGCUAUCGAAGGAUAUCAAUUUAGAGAUGCUUGAGAGGAGGCUCAGUCAGGCUGAAAGCCUUCUCUUGGAUGAAGGGUAGAGGAUGUAGAAAGAGGCCCAAGGAAGCAGGAAGGGGUGGAGGUAGGAUUCUGACCCAUGCUUGCUUUUCUCACUUCCUGUCCCAGCACACAGAGCCCGAAUUUUCACAGGAAAAUAAUCAUGCACAUAACCAACACAGACAGUAUCUCCUUGAGGUCUAUCAGGCUGUGGAAUGGACACCUCACAGCAGUGGGACGGCUGGCUGCAGGAGUUAAGAGGCUCACAAAAUGACCUGCAGUGCUGGGGAACACAGCAGGUUGUCUCUUUAAUCUAUGAAAGAAUCCAACAGUUGGAAAGCCAAGGUUUCAUCUCAUGUGGGGGAGCCACUACUCUUCAACGUUAUUGUCCAAGUCAAAGAGUGCCUGAAGU
rnacentral:sRNA from 1 species